UUUGUACUAGGAUCAGUUACGAAAGUAAGGCCUAACGAUCCCUAAAUAGCCUCAGGUGCGUGAGGAUUGGGGUGACAGACAAGUUACCUCCGGGACAACUGGCUUGUGGCUGCUAAGAGAUCAAAUCAACGCAGCUUUUUGAUUCUUCGAUGUCGGCUCUUCCUAUCCUAGUGAUGUACAAGUUGCUAAGGGUCGGAUUGUUCACCCGUAUUAGGGAUCGUGAGCUGGGUUUAGACCGUCGUGAGCCAGGUUUGUUUUAUCCUACUGGAUAUAGCAUCAUGAUAGUAGAUUGAUUUAGUACGAGAGGAACUGUUGAUUAUGGCCUCUGGUUAGCGAUUAUCGGAAACGGUAUGUCGCGCAGCUACUCCGUCUGGGAUAAUGGCUGAAAGCCUCUUAAGCCAGAAGCCCAUCUAGAAAGUGAUGCACGUGAUGUUGGACCGAUACGAAUAAUCAUACUCAAAAGGUCCGCUUCAUAGGUAACCCAAUGUAGAAGACAUUGUGUGAACGAAGGUACUGUAAGCAGUGGAGUGGCAUUACGUCCACGA
rnacentral:ncRNA from 1 species